CUUUCCUUCCUGUGCUGAAAAUUCCUACUGGGCAAUAUGAACUGUCAAUAGAAAAUCUUCUUCUGCACAUCACUUGUGAAAUAUAUGAACUUCUAAUCUUCUCUUCUGAAAAUUAAGUGAAGACAAGGACACAGAGAGUGUGUGGAGCCUCACCAAGCUUUAUUUACAUGCGCACUAUUUCUUAUACAAACUUCAAAAUUCAAAAUGUAAUACACAGGAAAAUACCCACUAACAUUAAGUUGAGAAUAAGCAAGAUUAAUAAAGAGCAAAAGUUCAAAGGGAAAAGUUCAGAGUGUGUAUGAAAGGGAGCUGGCCUGGGCUUCUUAACAAGGAUGGAAGGACUCAUAAGAAGAUAAUAUAAAGAAAAUGUCCAAGAGGUGAUUAAGGUUUCUAGUGGUAUGUGUCUAUUUUUGCUUUUCUCAGCUUUAAACCAGCAUAUUUUGUUCUGCGCGUGUGUGUCGAGCAUGAGAGGAGGUCAUCUGUGCCUGAAUGAAGCAGUGGUUUUGUGAAAGGCCUGCUCAGCUAUGACUACGAGAAAACUACCCUCCCAAAGAGUCGAUGCAUUUUUACACAGAGCCGAGUGCACAUAAUGUUAGGAACGCCUUUUAGAUUUGAUAUUUCCCAAAUUGAUAAGAGCUCUUUUCAAAGAUGACUGCGUUCCCCGGAUUUCACUUUGCCUGUCGUCUUCACAGGAGUAAGUAAUUUUAAGUACAGACAGUGUAGAUGAAUUCAAAUGCUUAACAGUUCAGGUGAUGGCUCAGGAGUCCCCCUGACAACAGAAAAGACAGAUAGUGUUCUGGAAAUUUUAGAUGUAGCAAGGUGUUGGUAAUUCCAGCUUGCUGACAUUUUCACUACGUCAGUGUAAUGGGUUUGUAAUAAUAAUAAUAAUAAUAUCGGAGGAUGGUGCAAGUGCUCCUCUUUAAGCCCUGAUUAUUACUUUUUUAUUUUUUUAUUUUUUAAAAAGGAACAGAGUGUUUUAGCACUAAAAACACAGUGUUCCUCUCAGGUUGAGAAAGGUCCAGCUAGCUCAUGCGCUAAACCUCAGUUAGUACAACAGACCAUUCUAGCCAACCAUGCACACCCACUCCUCCUUCCUUCCUUAGCUUCAAAGAGAUAUACACGAAUCUGUACACUGAUAUACAUGACAGGGAAUACACUUCAUGUCACUGCCCCCAAAUGGAGAAGGGGUCUCCAGAUGCUACAACAAUGGUGCCUUCCACCAUUUCCAAAAUCUGGUUCAACAAUUAAAAUUGCUGGUAACAGUUUUCCCUCCCUACCCGGCGCAUGAUGUAUUUGCUAUUUCUUCAAAUUCAGAGGUAUGACAAACCCCAAGGGUCAAGUACUACAUGAGCAUAUAAGGACAUACAGCGAGUAAAUAUGCAUUUCACACGGUUCAUAAUGCAUAAAUACAUACAUGCAUACAGUCGGCUGUUCUGUAUGCACCGCGAGGAGCUACAAACCCUCGUGAGAUUAAUUCAGUUGAAAUAAAACUCCAUCAAUAAACACGUACACACGUUAACAUGUAUUUAGGAGAUACAGGAAGUCACCUGCAGGAGCACCAGGCGUGUCCACGAGGGGAUCUGUGUGUGUGUGUGUGUGUGUGUCAAGAGUCAAACAAGAGGAGAAAAAAGCUAUGACAACAAAACCAAAAAACAACAGACUGUGUGAAGUAAUAAUCCUGACAUUUAUCGUCCUUCUAAUUCUUCAUCCUGGUGGCCAAAAGUUCACAGGUUACAAGUUCAGAAACACAAAGAAAAUAUGUUUUCCCCCCCAAGAAACGUUAAAAUACUACUUGACUGUGGCUUGACGUUUCUUAAAUGGAAAGCCUUCCUUCCUCACCCCCUGAGUGAUUCUGUAUAUGCAUAACAAGCCCCACAAUCUCACGACAAGAAACCAGCAGAGCUUAACAUGGAUCCCUGCUAUUUUUUGCUUUUUUUUUUUUUUCCCCGUGUGUGUGUGUGUGUGUAUUUUAAGUGUGUGCAUAAAUGUGUGUGCUGUCAUUUGGCUGCCAGCAUAUCCUACUGUUUAUUUCAAGUAAUUUGGCAAUAUACAGAGAUAGCUUAUUGUUUUAAUCAAGAAACAAAUGGCUUCUAGAGGAAUGAGCCUAUAAAAGAAAAAAAAAAAGACAACAACCUUCUCCCUUUGCUCAAACUUAUCAUGCUACAAGUGGCCGCAGCUCUAGGCUUCUGUGGGUUUUGGGUAAAAACAGGAAAAAAAAAAAGAACAGAAAAUAUGCACAGCUUCCUCGCAGGACAGGAUUCAACACUGUUUAUAUAGCACCUGUUGUGGUGUGGAAAUGUUCACAACCCUAGGACACAGGUUUUUGUUUUGGCUACAUCGAAUGCUGUGAUAAAUGACCUCAACAGAACUCACCAGAAGUUAGGAAAGCAAUGAGAAGACAUACAAGAUCUUUUCCCUCUUGAAUUUUUACCUGCCCUGCACUAUUCUGUACCAGAAGUUUUCUUCCUCUAGUCUUUUGAUAUAUACAAGGAUAAAACAAAAGCUGUAGCAAUCAUCUAAUCAUAAUAUAACCCUCAGUAUGCUGCUGUUAUUUCAAAGUCAUGCAUCAUAUAAUAUAGAAAACAGCAAGUGCAUUGUGUUAAAUUGAGGAAUUUAAACUUCUGGGGUUUUGGAGAUUUCACAAUCUGGGGCAACGUUUCAGUUUGUCUACACAUGGACUGAAUAAGUGGCCACUCAGUGAGUACGACACUCCCAUUUCCACCUUUUCAUUUCACCAGUACAAUGACUCUUUCUCUACAGACAUUUUUGAUUAAGAAACAAAUAUGAUAAAACAGGAACUCAAAAAACAACAACAACAACAACAUAUGACAUUUAAAAUUACUUAGAACAGUGGGAAUUUCUUUUUCAGUAUUACACGUCUCAGGAAACCACUGGAUCUGAUUUACACCACAACAUGUCUUGUUUUUUUUUUCUCUUUACACUUCAGUGGGAAAAACUGCACCAUGCUCUCCUUCGAUUCUUUGCUUGCCAUUUAGUCCUCAAUUUCCACCUGAAGACCCCUUUUUGAUAAGCAGUGUCUCUUUGAUAUCAGCAGACUGGGCGUCAAAGGAAAAUUGCAUAAUUCUAAGAUUUGUGAGUUUCUUGUGAUUGUUAGAUGUAGCUUUCGUUUUUGCUGUUGUUGUUUCACAAGAAGCUUUGAGGGCUCAUGCGCAGCAUCUCUCGAGUCUGCAGGAUCGUUCAUGGUUCACCAGUGUGGGAGCGAAGGUAAAGCUCUCAAGAGGAAGUCUUCUUCUGUAAACACAGGGUUGGUUAUUUUACAUUGUGCUGAUGGCAGGUUUGGCAAAAAGGAUGUUGUGUGUCUGAUCUUCUCUUGCACCACACAGGUCAGACCUGGAAUGAAAAAGAUAUGAUUAUCUUUUUGUGUUCGUAAGAAUGAAAAUCUUUUCCCUUCUCAAGGUUUUAAGUCACAUUUUUGAAUAAGUAGAUUGGCAAAUGUCACUGGCUCAUAUUAACAACAAAUUUCUGUUCACUGCUGGUUAUUUGCAGCUGCAAGUUAGGUGCUUAAAGCUACCACUUCUGCAUAUGUUUCAUAAUACAUGCAUUUGAAUAUGAAUUAUUGAAUAUAUGAAUUAUUCCUGAUCAAGUCCUCAUCACAUACUUCCUAGAAACCCAAGAAACCAGUGGUUGACUG
ensembl:lncRNA